GUGUGUGUGUGUCUGUCUGUCUGUCUGUCUGUCUGUAAGUCAGAGGACAACUUGCAAGAGUCACUUCCCUCCUUCUACCAUGUAGGUUCUGGGAGUCAAUCCCAGAACUUCAGGCUUGGUGACAGAUGCCUUUACCCAUCAAGCUAUCUCAACGGCACUGUUAAUGUGCAUUCUUUACAUUCAAAUUUAGUUUUCUACAGAGAUGUCUGUUUAAGUUUGACUUCUCCAAUGAAAAUCAAAAGGUGGGACAGCAAGUAAGAGAAUAAUGCAGGAAGAGGCUGCUAAAGUAUACAGGAAACCAAGCUUAGUGAAAGUCUUCUGAGGAUGGAGUUAUUGCCUAUGUCAGUAAGUGGAACCUGGUUACUGCUGAACCAGGAGAAGUAGAAGACAUGACUUUGGAACGUGGCAUUGCGGCUGUAGAAACUAGCUGAGUCCAGGCCACAGUCCCAGGAAGUAAGCAAGAAUAUCCAUCAGUUUGUGCAAGUGAGUAUUACUGCACAUAAAACGCAAUUCACUGAGCAUUUCUGGGUGACCACAGUUCUGAGUAUGUGUCAACUCAUUAAACUUUCACAGGCCACGCCUCCCCCAUCCCAUGCAGCCUCCCAUCAAGUCAGGGAUACUUACAGUUCCUUUGCAAGCAAGGCUAUUGAGGUCAGUUGUAGCUGUGUUUCCAGGACUCACUUCUGGAAAGUGAGGCUCUGCUUCAUUCUAGACCCACAGCUUGUAAUCACAACUUGUCUUCUGUGACAAUCAGGGUUUCUAUUGCUGUGAAGAGACACCAUGACCAUGGCAACUCUUAUAAAGGAAAACAUUUCAUUGUGGCUGGCUUAUAGUUCAGAGGCUUAGUCCAUUGUCAUCUUGGUGGGAAGCGUGGUUGCACACAGGCAAACAUGGUACUGAAGUGGUAAUUGAGAGUUCUUCAUCCAGAUCCACAGGCAGCAGGAAGAGACUGUGACACACUUCAUCCAACAAAGCCACACCCACUUCAACAAGGCCACACCUCCUCAUAGUGCAACUCUCUAUGGGCCUAUGGAGGCCAUUUUCAUUCAAACUACCACAGCUUCACCUUGGAGCAUCUCUCCAUACUCUCUCAGGCAACCAAGCCCCUGACAAAGUAACCCUGUAUCCUGACAGAUUGCUACCUGUAGGCUGCAGAAUCCAACUCAAACCGGCUCAAGAAAAUUCUUCCAGGAAGUGGCUUGAGUGACUAGAAACUCUAAGUCUGGCAGUAGCCUCCAGCAGAGCUGAUUUCUCGGCACUGCUAAGCCCAUCCCUGCCUGCCCCUAUGGGAUGAACUCUUCCAGAAUGAGGGAAGUCCUUGUCAAGCCAAGACUGAAAGCUGUCUGUGUGGGUAACAGAGGACAUCUCCUGCUUCAGCACAGCACACAUAUGAUUGUCUUCUCAAGUUUAUCCUUGUAUCAAGGCGUUGCAACAUCACCACAUUCUUGCUUUGGUUGUGGAGCAGACUGACUGAGUCUGUCUGCUUCAGUUCCUCUGAUGUGUUCAGUUCCUCUGAUCAGGAGGCAGAGGCAGAAGCAGACGAUGACUUCCAUUUUAGUUCUCCCCCAAGUGAGGUACACUUUAAAACAGCAGGUAUUUACUGUUUUUUUGUGUGCAUGCUUGCUCUUUGAAGUUUUCUUAGGACACUAGAAUGUUCCAUACUUACACAUUGAAGAAAAAUGAGUGAUAUACCCACUCUUACAAGAUUUGUACUUAAAAAAGAAAAAGAAAAAAUCUCCCUGGUUCUCAUCUUCUUGGAGCUACAGAAGGGUCCUGAGGCUUUGUCUCUCAUGUCAGAAGACCAUAUCUUCCUUGAUCCCAUGGUCUGUUGCAGUGGCCCUUGUCAUGAGAUGAGGGGCUGAAUUUCCAAGGACAGAGAAUAAGUAAGGGCUCCAAUUCCUAGGAAAUGAGAAUUUGAUUGUUCUCCACUGCAACCCACAGCUAGGGCUUAAUGGAAGUCGCUCCUGCAGCUCCCAACCUCCUCAUCUCAGUGAAGUCCACAAGUGGCUGUCUUAUUUUAUGUGUCUGCCUCAGUACAGAAUGACCAGUCCGUGGGUGAGAUGCAGAUCAUAGGAGGUGAAGACCUUUCAACACUGGCUGGAAAGGUUUGCUAAUGUAACUUCUCAGGAGGUGUACACUUCUGGGGACAUCUAUGUGACCUUCAUGUCAGACCGCCUUGUAGGUUCCAUGAGUAGUGAAUUCUGUUCUGUGGCAGCUGAAGCGAACUGGCUAACAUAACUGAGCAUCUUUUGACAGUACUACGAUACGGCAGAAAGUCGGUGUGAAGUAGGCAGAGACCACUGUGUUCACCAUCUCAUCUCCAGCAUCGUACACAGCCUCGUCCAUCACAGGUUGGAAUAAAUGUUGGAUGAACAGACGUUGUUGGAACGGGGAGGACCAUGAAAGCGUUGCUCAGCAGCAUCGAGAAAUACAAACCCAACAUGGUAAAGGUAGCCAGUUUGUUGAAGAAGAGACCAGCCAGAAGUGACAGCUUCAAACCUGACUGUGGGAUCUGCCUGUGUAGCCCCUGCCUGGCAUUGAAUUUAAAAGCCUCCUGGCUUCGGUUUUGCUUUCCAGUCCUUCAACUGGCUGAGGACAGUGACACAGUGGGAGAACUGCUUCUCGGUUAUUGAGGCACACCUUGUUAUGCAUGGCAGUGCCAUGAUGUUUUCUGUUUGGAUGGUCCUUUGUGCUUUUAAGAGAAUCUCCAUAGGCAUUAGGACACUACAUACCACUCAAUGUGAACAAAGCCACUGGGCCUCCUAAACCCUUCCUUCCUCAACUCUGUACACUACAUAUAGGCCCAUUGCUCAUCCAUGUUUGCUUGUUUCCCUUGUGUCCCCAAGCCAUCAUUCUGUUCCAGGCACUCACAGGGUUUGUCCUGCCACUACUCCUUACUUCUGUUUACCAUGUAAGUACCACAGCAGCAUAUGGCAAUAGUAUGCUUACAUGUUGUAAACUUUCUUCCUUGUCCCUUUCUGCUAAGAUGCUGGAUUUGAGAUCCCAGAUGUCUUUGUGGUGGGUUAUGCCUUAGAUUACAAUGAAUACUUCCAAGACCUGAAUCACAUAUGCGUGAUCAAUGAACACGGUAAAGAAAAAUAUUGAAUAUGAUGAAGCAAAACUCUCAGCAUCUCUUUCCCAGCUAACACGACAAUUCUACUCAGGAAGCCAGAGUGUAAACUCUGUCUCCAUAGCCAUCUUCACUCAGUGGGGUAUAAAAGACUUUUUAAAAAUGAGCUCUUUUUCCCAGAGAUUAGAAUGUAAAUACCAAAGGUUCUUCAGGAAGAGAAGACUAUGCCUGCCUUUGACUCACUCCAAAUUAACCUUCUGAUCCCGCAAAAUCCCACCCACCUUCAUGCUCCCGAAAACACCUUCUGCUUUAGUACAGUCACUACAUUCAGUGGCUCUUCCCGGGAAUACUCCCACCCGAUGACUCAAAUAUUGUUCACUUAACUCCUUCAAUGCUGUAAAUUUUUAUAACAUUUUACAGAAAUAGGAAACUGCCGCCCCCUUCGCUUUAGCUCUGAGCCUGUACAGUAACAACGCAGCUAAGUUCCCUCAAUAAAACAGGAGCAAAAGGACAGCUUCACGUGAGAGUGUUUGCCCGGCAUGACAGGACGUUAUUAUCUGCUUUGACAAAGCCUUUCAGAAGUGCGGGUACAAUGAACCUUAAUGAUGUUAUGAAAUGAGCCUUCACUGCGUGCUCUUGAGCUUCGCUUCCUGUAUGUGAUGACAGCAUGUCAUGUGUGCAUGGAUGUACUCAACUGUGUUUAAUACUCUGCAUUUUAAUUAGAAAAAACACAAUGGCAGCAAGGCCUGCCCUUCUGAGACGAAUCCUUUUAUUCACGUGGGACAGGGACAAAUGGUGGGAUUGAGAGACGGAGGGUAUUUUCAAAAAUCAGCACUAAGCAAGUGUAAAUUUUCCCUCUUAUUUGCAUGGAAGAAUAAGAGAGUUAAAUAUUAUCCUAAACAUGAGCAGAGGUUGAAUUGUUUAGCUAAAUGUCCUUAUAUGACUUCUCACACAAUCCAUGGUGUCAGAGGAAGCAAGCACACAUACGGAAGUUUUUGUUCAUAACACACACAUCCCUAUUAACACCAUUAUAUGUGACAUUUCCUAAUUUAUAGGGAUUUUAAUUAAAAAUAAGCUCAAGAGUCCACAGUGCUGGGUAUCUUGCCUCCGAAAAGGAGCAAAUGCAAGAUAAAUAACUAAACAGCCUUUGUUGGGUUCUGAACCGUCUGUCGUGUAUUGUUAUAUUGUAGAGUCCCUUAAAUUAAUAAUAAUAAUAAAGACAUGUUUCAGAACUGCU